GGCCCCAUAGCUCAACUGAAUAGAGUAUUUGACUACGGAUCAAAAGGUUGCAGGUUUGAAUCCUGCUGGGGUCACCA
rnacentral:tRNA from 1 species